rnacentral:rRNA from 1 species
UACAGAGGGUGCAAGCGUUGUUCGGAAUUAUUGGGCGUAAAGGGAGUGUAGGCGGCUUGUUAAGUCUUCUGUGAAAUCUACGGGCUUCACCUGUAAAGUGCAGAGGAAACUGGCGAGCUUGAGUGUCGGAGAGGAUAGGGGAAUACACGGUGUAGAGGUGAAAUUCGUAGAGAUCGGGUGGAACACCAGUGGCGAAGGCGCCUGUCUGGCUGACAACUGACGCUGAGACUCGAAAGCAUGGGGAGCAAACAGG